CAUCAUCAGGUGAAAACACCCCAACUGCAGACGAUCAUGAAACCAUAGCUGACCAAACACAGUUGGACCAAGAUGUGAGUCUUGCCUCUGAGGAGACAAACCUGGGCGAGCAUCCACCAGGAGAGGAGGCUGCAGCGGUGAUUCUGGCCGUAGAGGGAAAGAUCGAUUCGGUCAGUAAAAGGGAGGAGCCGGAGGGCACCGAGCCCCUGCCUGCAGACACAGAGGAGAGCUCUGAGCUGCCAUCUGCAUGGCAAGAGGAGAGCACUGGGCCUUCACCUCCAGCACUGGAAGAGGAUGCUGGGGCACCAUCGCCAGGACCAGCACAGGACAGUGGGCUGGUAGAGGGCAGUGACACCUCUGUAGUGGAAAUCAUCCAGAAAGUACAUAUUGCUGAAGAGGACCACCUCAUUGAGGGUGAGACGGGAGAACAGGUGGAAACUGAGCUGCUCAGUGAGAUAGUGAGUGGAGGGCCUGAGACAAAAGAAGAAGAAACAGGAGAAGCUGUGGAUGGUGCAGCAGCGACAGAGAUAGAGACAGCUAAUAACAAGGAAUAGAAGUUAUGUCUCUAUGAACAUCCUCUCCUUGGGCCUGCUCUUCUGUCUACAUGAACAUUUUUAAAUUUUAUUGGGUUGGGAAAAUAGAAAAGCUUUUAUGGAUUGAACCACGACCAUGAAUAAGAAGCAUCAGAAAAAGUUUUAUAUUUUUUUUGAAGUCAAGCUGCCAAGACUUCAAGUGUUUGAAAUACCUGAACUUUCACCUCCCUGCCACAGAGUGCCUUCUGUACAGGUCUAGCACAGUGGGAUCAUUUUCUGACAUCAGUAUAACCAUUCAGUUUUCAAUUAGGACUUUUUUGAGGUUCAGAUAACUAACUUCAAACCUUUGAAACCUUCAACCAGCAUUAUAUGGGAUAAAAAAUAUAGUGUGGCUUUUUCUUAACAGUAGCGUGUGGGCAAUUUUUCCAAAUGCCUGGACUAUCAACACACAGAGUAGCACGUAGAGGACUGGGAGAUGAAAGUGCCCAUUUACCAGGCUGUAACUAAACGCAGAGGUUAGUUUUUCAGAAAAUGGAAGAUAUGCAGGGUGUAGUGUCCAGGACCCACGUGAGAGUCUGCUCCUCGCUCUCCGUUUUUAAACACAAAUUUAUUGCAAGGCUAGUAGGACAAAAUAUAUGAUGACUUCUGCAAAAACAGGGAGAAGAGGGCAUUUUUAACUCUGAGUAUGAUGGUUUAGUCUUACAAAUUCUUGCACACUUAAAAUACAAAGAUAACUUUACAGCUGUUAACAUUCAUGGUGAUUAAUAACCUGCCUUUAGCUGUGUAGCUCCUCAUAUGCCAUUUGUGGGUUCUGAAAUAGAUUUCUAAUCAGAGACAUAUAUAAGCCUGUUCCCAAAGGAGAUGUCAUCUCUUUUAUUUCCCUGUAGUGCUGUCCUCCAGAAGAAGUAUGCUAUCAGGGACUGUCUUGGUUAUUUUCCAAAAUGCUAAAUAAUCAUUUUGGAGCUGAAGCUGAAUGGCAAAGCUUUCAAACAAGUUUCCUGUGAAACGGGCCCUGAAUAUAAUUGAUGUUAUGGAUCUGACAGAGAGUAGAAGUUUGUUCUGAUGGUGAAUGUUGCAAAGGGACUGUAUGUUAUCAUUGAGGAUUGUGUUUACAGGAUUCUCUGGCAUAAGAAGGUAGGAUACGGAGAAAAGGUCAGUUAUCUAAAAAGGGCAAGCACAUGUUGCUAUUUUAUUAGCUCUAUUGUACAAAAGUACUUCACAAAAAAUUUGCUGUCAUGAGCAAAUUACACAAAUCCCCUCUAGGAGCUAAAUUUUGUGCUGCAUGUGCACAUCUGAUUCCAGCUGACUUUGGUUUGUAUUAAUCUAAUUUAUAUUCCUGGCCUAUCAGCCUUUUGUGUAAGCUGAUAUUCCUGGGCUAUAUCACUAAAUCUAAGGUUUUCUCCUUAUCAGCACUCAUACGAACUUGUCAGCUUCAUUUAAUGUCAAUUUGCUGUGGGCAAUACCAUAAACUUUUAGAACCAAAAUGCAUAUUUUCAUUUUUUUAAGGUAUUUUUUGGUAGAUGGAUGCUGCAGAGUUUUAUUUAUUUUUACUAGCCUUCUAUAAUAGCGAAGUUAAAACAAGCAGCUAGUUCUAUUAAAAAUCUAUUGACAUUAAAGUGGGAAUUAAAAAUUCAGAGGUAGUCAAAUUUUUUGUCCAGGUGCCCAAAUCAUUCCAUGAUGAAAAGCCGUGAGAAACAUACCGUGCACUUGGGAGAGCUGAGGAGCGGGAGAACAGGUGCUGAGCGGGAUGAGGACUCCCUGGGGUGAUACAUGGCUGUGCUGGGCAUAUGGCCAGGGCCCAGGACACCACAGCAACUUCCACCAUCAGCUCUUCUGGUGGCUGGUUUCCUCCUAUGAGCUGGGAAUUCAGUUCAGCCAGCAGAGCCUGUGCCAGCACAGCCCUGCUCCCAAAUACAGGAGAUGAAAUUGGCAGGGGGGCCAUGCUGAUGACUUGCAAGUGGUGUGUUAGCUACAUUGAAAAAUUUAAAAGCAUAAACCAAGAGGAGUUCUGUGACAGAGAUCAGUAUUAUUAAUAACAACAGAGGAGACCACUUGGAACUAAAAUAUGAAGAUACAAUGAAGUCAAGAUAACCUCACCUCAGAGUCACUUGCUACCAUUGUAGUUAAAAGAAGACAGGUGAUAAUAUACAUCCUUUCCUCACUGUUCAACUUUUUCAGGUCAUUAAGCAAUGCUAACUGGAAACAAGAAGAGUAUAAGCCAGUCAAUGACUCAACAGCAUCAGCCCUUUCAGUCAUCUUCAGUCCUUAUAUCAAAUGAAGGCUAUUUUUCCUUUUCCUUUCUAAAAGACAAAAUAUGCUUGACACCAUGCUAAACAUGAAAUGUUGAUCACUCACUCACCACAAGAUCAGAAUUUGUCUGCUAGAUAUAUGCUGAACAUCCCUACCUUGAGAAAUACAUUGACGCCUAGCAUUCCCGGUCUGUAAGCUACCAAAGCAUGUACUAUGCAUAAAGGGCCAAAAUAUGCGCAGUUAUUUGCCUCUACAAACGUGGGACGUCACAGAGAUUGCCAAGGGCAGAAAUUGGUCUGUGGAUCAAAGAGGUUUCUCAUGUCAAAGGCUGAGAAGAGGAUAUGCUCCCAUGUCUGUGUUUGUAAGAUCUACCUCCAGAGAUAGGGCAAUAUACUUUAGCUUUUUUUUUUUUAAACAUAAUCAAAAUCCAAAACAAUCUUUAGAAAUGUUUAUCAAAAGCUGGACGAUUUUCAGCCCUUAACUUAAUCCAAGGUGGAGGCAGUCACUCUAUGCCACAGGGAGUGCUGGGUGGGACACUGGAAGGAAUUAGCACAAUUUCCAAACAAAUAAGUUCUGGUAGGAAUUAUGUUUCAAUUUUCAAUAAACGCAACCCUAGAAGAGGUUGAAUUUGCACCUUGUCAGCUCUAUGCAGACACAUAUGCAUGUUGUGUUAGGACCCCAGAAGAUACUUUGCAUUCUGGCUGGCUAGGGCUGGCUCUUUCACUCAAUGCGGAACUGCUUUCAGGUAAAAACUGCAGCAAGAGCAAGGUGCUUGUAGUGGAAGAUUAGGGCAGUUUAAGUUUGGCUGUAUGUUUUAACUUAAGAGAAUUUUUAUUAAAAUUUGAGCUUUAUUUUUGCAUUGCUUAAUCUGUAGAGAAUAUAAUCUUUUGGAGGAAAAAAAAACCUACUUAAACACCUGGUAGAGCAUGAAAAUUUAAGUAUUGCUUUACUACCACAGAAACAGAGGACCUGUUCUGUUGGCUUUUUAAGUGUUACAUGUGAUUGAAACAAAUUUUAGAUGGUGAAAUUAGUUUGCUACAAGCUGAAUUGCAACUUCAUAUUUUACAUGCUAGAGGCUUAGUCUAGCAAGCAAAAAAACCCCUAAGUUUAACUUAGAACAGGAUUUCUUAAAUUUUGUUUACUUUGCUGAACUAAAACCUAAGAGAUAUCCACAAUACUUGCUUUUCAGAAUUAUGGGGCUUAGCCUUUUUGUCUUAAAGAAUAGAAUCAAAUAAUAUAUCUCUGCUUAAAAAAUAAAAGUUUUAAACAUCUCUAUGGAAGGCUGAUUAUUUAUGUUGAGAACUGCUAUGACAUAGCUGUAAAUAAGAGAGUUUAUUUAUUUCAGUUAUUCUAGAACUCUGGUACCUGAAGAAUACAUAUUUAGAUCUGAGGCAU